UUGCAGGUCUCACACUCAUGGAGUGAUAUCGCCUUUUGGGAUAGAAAAGAAGGAGCGGAACAGCCUGAGAAUUGCACAAAUUUAUCCUGAAAGAUCAUGUUGAAAAUUAGCAUAAUUACUCUAUAGCUGGAUUGAAAUUCAACCCGUAUUGAAAUAAAUUGUUAAUGUUUGUUUCGCAUUAAGAAAUUGCUGCUAUUGUCAUUCUCUCGUCUCCUCGUGGAUUUUACCUUGUGCUGACCAGACGAAUGUGUGUAAAACAAGAAUAAUAUAAACGGGUAUAAAACAACAUCUGCAAGCUGUUUAAAUAAUAUGUCCGAUCUCUGAAGUGAUACAUCUAAUAAAAUAAGUCUUAUCAAUCUAUCAUCGGAGCUGUGCGCAUUCAAUCUCUUACGAGCCCACAAGCAGGUAAUUACGACAUGAAGGCAUUCCGCAAUACCACUAUUUAGGCUUGGAUGACUGAGCUUGUAUUACUUAGUCUUACCUUUUGAACCUCUCUGGUCUGUUGCUGUUGCUGAAAGCGACAAAUACUGUUCCGAAGAGGCAGCUAACAGGAGAUUAAAGCGGCAAAAUUGCUUCUUCACCUCUACCUAGAUGUCUUUGACAGAAGAAUCCAUAAAAGCAUCUGUGACAUUUCUCCUUUUAAUUAAUUUCAUCUCAUCAUUUUGCAAAUGUAAAUUGACUUUAUUAAAUAUUUUAAGCAAG